GACGGAGGGUGCUAGCGUUGUUCGGAAUCACUGGGCGUAAAGGGCGCGUAGGCGGCCUCAGGUGUCGGAUGUGAAAGCCCGGGGCUCAACUCCGGAACUGCCUUUAAGACUGCAUCGCUUGAAUCCGGGAGAGGUGAGUGGAAUUCCGAGUGUAGAGGUGAAAUUCGUAGAUAUUCGGAAGAACACCAGUGGCGAAGGCGGCUCACUGGACCGGUAUUGACGCUGAGGUGCGAAAGCGUGGGGAGCAAACAGG
rnacentral:rRNA from 1 species